GACGAACGCUGGCGGCGUGCUUCAUACAUGCAAGUCGAACGAGAAGCUGACUUCGGUCAGUGGAAAGUGGCGGACGGGUGCGUAAUAUGUAGGAAAUCUGCCUUUAGGAGGGGGACAACAGAGGGAAACUUCUGCUAAUACCCCAUAUGAGCGUAGCUGAAAUGCUAUUCUUGAAAACUCCGGUGCCUAAAGAUGAGCCUGCAUCUGAUUAGCUAGUUGGUAGUGUAAUGGACUACCAAGGCGACGAUCAGUAGCUGGUUUGAGAGGAUGAUCAGCCACAAUGGGACUGAGACACGGCCCAUACUCCUACGGGAGGCAGCAGUAGGGAAGUUUGCGCAAUGGGCGAAAGCCUGACGCAGCAACGCCGCGUGAACGAUUAAGCCCUUCGGGGUGUAAAGUUCUGUCAGUGGGGACGAAACUUGACGGUACCCACAGAGGAAGCACCGGCUAACUCCGUG
rnacentral:rRNA from 1 species